GAGCAAGUGGGCAUCGCAUCCACUCUAAGGGGAAGAAGUCAUCGCUUUAGUGCCCAAUGCCCAGGGAUCCUACUGCGGUGCACAGUUUAAAAUGUUCACAACUUAAAUCAUCAUUCCUCCACCAAGUUUAAAUUCAAAUGUGAAUUUGAAAGUUUCCUAAGUGUUCAGCUUUCAGAGAAUUCUUUUAUUUUGUAGUCAGUUGUAAAGCAUUUAGACCGUAACUUGCUUUCUCCAAAGCAGACUUUGAUUCUCUAACCUCUGGAGACUAAAAAGAACAGCCUGAAGGUGUUUGGAUCAGAGGCUACACCCCCUUAUAUUUUAGGAAGAAGCCUGUUUGUAACUCUGCCUCUUCAUACUUGACCUGAGUUUCCUUUUCACUAGCCACCUCCUAGGACAGCGAUGGCCACUGGCUUUGUCACCUGUAGAUCUGGCCACAUUCAGCUCUCCUUAAUGGCCUUAGCUCUCUCAACUAGUCGAGGUCGGGGACGUGCCAGAGGGCACAUAGUAAACCUGACGGACUAGAACUUUUGACUUCGGGUCCCCACGUCAGCCAAACACAGAUACAGAGAUCUUUGCUUUUGUGGAUCCUGUGUUCAGAGUGGCCUUUAUCUUGACCUCAGUUUUUGGACUUGACUUGAGCACUCUAUAGGAAAUUGCUGAAGUCAGACCAGUUUUCUUUGGUGUCCUUGUAAGGUGGCGUGCCCGGUCUUGAACACCCUGUGGGUGAGUAACCUUAAGUGAGCUGCCAGUACUAGAAGCUUCCAGGAAGAAUUGUAACUAGUAUGCUGCAUUUGAAGCACUUUGACAUGUACAUUUUAAGUGAUGGUUUUAACAGUAAAAACGGUGUUAAAUUAAUCACUGUGAAACUUGAAAGUGUGAUGGCCUAAAGUACAUUUUAGGAAGCUUAAGUAAAUUUCUGAUUUUCCUGUAUUAAUUAUGUAAUCCAUGUGAUUUGUAUGUUUUACUUUUCAUCUUUGACAGUGGUACAAAUGACUGACAUGUUGGCAGGUGGUUGGUUCCUUUAGGGCCUGUGGUAAAUCAUGGUUGUCUGACUUGUCCACAGAAAGUGGCACUCACUGUGUUUACUUUUUCCUUUGUGUGGAGCCAUGGGAAUUGGAUUUACUGGCUAAUUCAUUACCAGUGUUUCUAUGGUGCAAAAUAAACGUAACCUUUUAAACCUGCAUGCUAGUAAUGCUUUGCUUUUUAAUAAAUAUGCAAGAGAUAAUAAUCUAGCUGAUUGUUUUUAAGCAGAGACCUGCUGUUUUUACAGGCAGAUCUUAAAUGAGCUAAUAUUUUGGGUAGCGAAAGAAGUUUUGCCAUUUGUAGCCUUUUUCACAGGUGGCCUGAGUGAGGGGGUUGUGUUGCAUUUGAUCAGAAAGGCCAGGUUCCCAGAAUUGGAAAAUGGCACACAGACUGAUUUUUAGAAUAUCUUAAGAAGGGCUUGUCUUGAGGAAAAGUCCAUUUGGACAGAAGCGUUAUCUCAUCUCCUGUGGCCAUUCGCAGUAUCUUAACCUUCGUGGACUCAUUCUUCGAAAGCCGGGUUAAAUCAGAGGGUAGUAUUUUUAAAGCUUGUCCAUUGGAUCAAGGCCAGAGUACCUGAUGCUACAUUUUAGAGACAGUCAGUAUUGAGGAUAUAAGGAGUGGUGAACAGCUCGUAGGCUAAAGUCUUCUUGAGCAGUUUCUGUGGGUAACAAUUAGAAUUGGAAUUGAUUUUGUUUUUUUAUUAAAACAAUAUUAACAUUUUUUGGGAGCAUUUGCAUAACUUAUCCCAUCAGAGCAGCCAUUCAGGAGACCAAGACCCAGCUACACGUAAUGAUUUGCUCUUUCUGGAAUGUGCCAAGAAAGAAGAAUUCAGUAUUAAAAUAUUAAACUCCAAAUUUCAAUUUUUUUUUUUUUAAAGGAGCAUUUCUUCUGGUUUGAAAGGGGAAGGCAGUGAACCAUGGCUGCCGUGUCAACUCCCCGCCGCCUGCCUUCUCUUCGUCCCCUCACGUCUAACGUAAUAGAUUCAAUUUGUCUCCAAUUGUAGGAAAAGAAAUCGAUACUUUCCUGAGUAAGGUUUCAUGCCCUGGGACUAAGAAUAGGUGGCAGGAAUCACAGUGGAAUCAAUUAUUGAGUUGUUUAGCUGGGGCCUGUCGCAGUUUGCUUUCUUUAGUUUUCUGAAACAAAAGGACGAUUCCAUCCCUUCUCAGGUACCUAGAAACAGUCCCCCUUAAGCAACUGGAAUACUUUUGCUCUAAGUGGAAUAUAUUAGAGAAGAAGCUGGAGAGGAGCACAGAGUCUUCCCUUGCAAGUAGUUUAAUGGAACAUGUUAGUAUUUGGUCUGUCUAGGACUUGCUGUGUUCAUAGCAAAUCAUGUAACAUUUAUUUUAUCUGGUUCUGUAUGGUAUGUGUAUAUAUAUAUACAUAUUUAAUAUGUAUCCGUAUGUUCUCUGUGCGUAUAUAUGUAUACUGUACCCCGAUAUACAUGCAGUCUCCUCUUGAUUAUCAGCAAGACGGUAGGCCUGCACCAGACUGUUUCUUCCUGUUGGCUUAAUCUGCAUGUCACCCGUUACUCUGUGAAGCCUCUUUCUUAUCUGGAGCCACAGUCUUUCCUAUUCUCAGUUCAUCUCAGUCCCCAGGAAAGGCCCUGGACAUCUGUCCCUUUCCACUUGCCUUUCACCAGGGACUAUGUGAGCCAGAAAGACAGCUUUUGAGAAAGAUGGCUGCUUCCUCCAGAGUUGAGGCUUCUGGGACUGAAUGAUGAUGGGACCCUUUCUGAGGCGUUCCAGAAGGCAGCCCCUGGAGCAGCUGUGCUCAUGGGCUUGCUGGGGGGAAAAAAUCCAGCUCUUGUGGGAAACGGGGCUGCACAAUUUGCUUCACUUCCUCGGCUGGAAUGUCGUGAAGCCUCUGAGGAUCUGAUGUGCAGACAGGGUACAGUUGUGUGUUUCCCUGGGGGCUUUGUAUCGGCAUUCCUGUUCCCCGUUGCUCGCCCAGAUAAUCAAAACCUGACUGUUUCUUGCCACUGGAUUCUGGAAGCCUUGCCCUUUCAACUGGAUGUAUGUUUGUUUCUGCUGCUGUGAAACCCAAAAGUAAAAGUAGGCUUUAAUUUAAAAUUGUUUAAUUCUAUUGAUAAAUAUUUAUUGUAAUAAAAAUAAAGAGUAAAUAAUUUUUAAAUC
rnacentral:lncRNA from 1 species